GAAACAAUUUAAAGUUCUCUCUGCCUCUCUCGUCUACAUCUCUCCCCUUUCCCCACCAAUUUAUUUCUCUCUCCUAAUUUCUCUCUCUUCUUUUCUUUUUUCUACCCUCUCUACCUCAUCUCUUUUCUCUCGGAGCCCUUCUCUCCUGCUCUCCCAGUUUCAGAGGCCGUAACUUUUUCCUAGAGACAUUUCCAAGCGUCAGGCAUUCUAAUGAUAAAGCAGGAGGACAGAGGCUGUGGGCCAAAGCAACUGGCCCCUCGGAUACUGUAAAACAUCCAACGGUGACAGGCCAGGUUUGGCUGAGGAUAAUAUCUACCCUCCGUCGGUGCAGCCUGUUGCUCUGACCGCCAGGAUUCUGCCAAAUCUCGGGGCUGAACUGCUGAGCCUUCUGCGGUUGCGUGUUUCUGACCUGUUUUGUUUGGCUUUUCCACCCCAACACCGCUCCUGGCAAGGAAAUGAGUAAGGUGGGGCGGGGUGAGGGUGGGGGGUGGAAAGAGCACACUCCAGAACGGAUCCCUUUUAAAAACUAAAGGUCGUAGAUAUUUGAACAGGACGCUCAGCAUCAGGCUAACUCAAUGAGAAAAUAACCACCCGGCCUCGUUUCCCCACCCGCUUCAGAGAGAAGUAAAGCUUCCAGGGAAAACCUUGGCUUGCCUCUGUGAAACAUUUUCACGUUGUGCUGUGAGAACCGUCUCGUGUGUCCUCCCUAGAUUCUCCCCAUCGCAUUUCCUUCCUGGAAGCCUAAAUAAGUGUUAAAACAAGGAACCAAGGUCCCGACAACGAAACAGCCUCUUUUUUGGGAGCGCUUCGGCUGUCUGAAAGGUGUGUGUAUAGUUGUAUAUGCACUUGUGUUUUGAAGGGAGGCUAUUUUCCGUCUUCUCUUAGUCGAAGAUGUGAAUGGCAAAGAACUGGAGGUAGGCACACCCCAGUCCUUGUUACCACCCAUCAGGUAUGGAUGCACUAGGCAGGAAGAGACACUUGAUGUCCUGAUGUCUGGUUUUGGAAAAAAAAAUGUAGUUUCUCCGGCCCAUCUG
rnacentral:lncRNA from 1 species